rnacentral:snRNA from 1 species
GAAUUUGGCAGAACAUAUACCAAAAUUGGAAUGAUGCAGAGAAGAUUAGCAUGGCCCCUGGGCAAUUGGCAUAUAUUUAUGACGGUUGCAGUGUGCCU